rnacentral:rRNA from 1 species
UACGGAGGGAGCUAGCGUUGUUCGGAAUUACUGGGCGUAAAGCGUACGUAGGCGGCGAUUCAAGUCAGAGGUGAAAGCCUGGAGCUCAACUCCAGAACUGCCUUUGAAACUAGAUUGCUAGAAUCUUGGAGAGGUCAGUGGAAUUCCGAGUGUAGAGGUGAAAUUCGUAGAUAUUCGGAAGAACACCAGUGGCGAAGGCGACUGACUGGACAAGUAUUGACGCUGAGGUACGAAAGCGUGGGGAGCAAACAGGAUUAGAUACCCUGGUAGUCCACGCCGUAAACGAUGAUAACUAGCUGCCGGGGUUCAGAGAACUUCGGUGGCGCAGCUAACGCAUUAAGUUAUCCGCUUGGGGAGUACGGUCGCAAGAUUAAA